GUGGAGACUGGACAGCUGGACCUGGACAGGUGGAGCCUGCUUCCCCUUGACUUCGGCAGCAGAAUCCGAACAAUAAAGAUAAAUGUUCUUCCAAGACUAUUGUACAUAUUUGCAGCACUUCCAGUAGAGGUUCCAGCAAAACAAUUUAGGGAGUGGAAUAAGCGUUUUUCAAGGUUUAUAUGAAGCAAUAAAAGGUCAAGAGUAAGAUACUCGACCCUGCAGCUGCCUGGGGAUCAGGGCGGGAUGGGCCUGCCUUGCCUGGUGGAUUAUUACAUGUCUGCCCAGAUUAAACCUCUGGUGUACUGGUGUAAUCCAGCCUAUGAGGCUAAAUGGAAAGACAUUGAGCUUUCUUUGUUGGAC